UGUUUAACUACUGUGGAUUUCUCCUACUGAAGGUUUUUGUUGUUUGUUUAUGUUUAUUUACGUUGCUUGUUACCUUUGGAAUCACUGACUGUAUUUCCAGUGUGUUACAGCAAGGUUUUGACCACUAGCUGCAUCAAUCCUUGUACAUGUUGUAUAACUUCAGGUGAGGUCUGAUCCACACUGUGAUCAAUUCAUCCAUUUCUGUGAUUACCAUCAUGUGGUUCUCUCAUUACUCAGCACAGACAUCUGCUGGAUGAUGUAUUCAGCUACACUUCAACGAACCUGAGUGUGGAAGCAGGACGUUAUCAGGGGUUGGUUUAAAGGAAAGACAUUAACCUGCUACAUAUGUAGUGAUAGGUAGAGGGUAGACUGCAUCUGACCUCGAGCCAGUUCAGGGGAAUAUUCUGCCCCAUAACAGAACAGGCCUCCUACAGCAGAGAGUACACUGGGUCUCAGAGCAUCAAGACGAGUACGCAACUGCAGCCCUGAUGUGGAGUGU